UUAACUGUAGUGCAAUGGAUAGCUCGUUGAACUUAUAAACCAAAGGUCGUGGUUUCGAAUUCCACCUGCGAUGAA